GAUGAACGCUGGCGGCGUGCCUAAUACAUGCAAGUCGAGCGAACGGACGAGAAGCUUGCUUCUCUGAUGUUAGCGGCGGACGGGUGAGUAACACGUGGAUAACCUACCUAUAAGACUGGGAUAACUUCGGGAAACCGUAGCUAAUACCGGAUAAUAUUUUGAACCGCAUGGUUCAAAAGUGAAAGACGGUCUUGCUGUCACUUAUAGAUGGAUCCGCGCUGCACUAGCUAGUUGGUAAGGUAACGGCUUACCAAGGCAACGAUGCGUAGCCGACCUGAGAGGGUGAUCGGCCACACUGGAACUGAGACACGGUCCAGACUCCUACGGGAGGCAGCAGUAGGGAAUCUUCCGCAAUGGGCGAAAGCCUGACGGAGCAACGCCGCGUGAGUGAUGAAGGUCUUCGGAUCGUAAAACUCUGUUAUUAGGGAAGAACAUAUGUGUAAGUAACUGUGCACGUCUUGACGGUACCUAAUCAGAAAGCCACGGCUAACUACGUG
rnacentral:rRNA from 1 species